GGGGGGGGGGGGGGGGGGGGGGGGGGGGGGGGGGGCGGGGGGGGGGAGGAGGGGGGGGCGCCGGUGGCGUGAGCGGCGGGCGGGGGGGGGACGCGUGGAGACCCUAGCUAUAGGACUGGGAGAACUUCGGGGAACCGGCGCGAGUACCGGCGAAUGUCUGGAACCGCCUGGUUCAAUAGUGCAAGCCGGCUUUGCCGUCCCUUCUCGCUGGGUCCGCGACGCAUUAGCGAGUUGGUAAGGUAACGGCUUACCAAGGCAACGACGCGUAGCCGACCUGAGAGGGUGAUCGGCCACACUGGAACUGAGACACGGUCCAGACUCCUACGGGAGGCAGCAGUAGGGAAUCUUCCGCAAUGGGCGAAAGCCUGACGGAGCAACGCCGCGUGAGUGAUGAAGGUCUUCGGAGCGUAAAACUCUGUUAUUAGGGAAGAACAAAUGUGUAAGUAACUAUGCACGUCUUGACGGUACCUAAUCAGAAAGCCACGGCUAACUACGUG
rnacentral:rRNA from 1 species